rnacentral:rRNA from 1 species
AUAAACCCGGGAAACUGGCUAUAAUACCCGAUAGAUCUCGACUGCUGGAAUGCAUCGAGAUCCAAAGCUCCGGCGCUCAAGGAUGGGUCUGCGGCCUAUCAGGUAGUAGUGGGUGUAGCGGUACCACUAGCCUACGACGGGUACGGGUUGUGAGAGCAAGAGCCCGGAGAUGGAUUCUGAGACACGAAUCCAGGCCCUACGGGGUGCAGCAGGCGCGAAAACUUUACAAUGCCGGCAACGGCGAUAAGGGGACCUCGAGUGCCAGGUUACAAAUCUGGCUGUCGUGAUGCCUAAAAAGCAUUGCAUAGCAAGGGCCGGGCAAGACCGGUGCCAGCCGCCGCGGUAACACCGGCGGCUCGAGUGGUAACCGUUAUUAUUGGGUCUAAAGGGUCUGUAGCCGGCCGGAUAAGUCUCUUGGGAAAUCCAGCAGCUUAACUGUUGGGCUUUCAGGAGAUACUGUCUGGCUCGAGGCCGGGAGAGGUGAGAGGUACUUCAGGGGUAGGGGUGAAAUCUUGUAAUCCUUGAAGGACCACCAGUGGCGAAGGCGUCUCACCAGAACGGACCUGACGGCAAGGGACGAAAGCUAGGGGCACGAACCGGAUUAGAUACCCGGGUAGUCCUAGCCGUAAACGAUACUCGCUAGGUGUCGGCCACGGUGCGACCGUUGUCGGUGCCGUAGGGAAGCCGUGAAGCGAGCCACCUGGGAAGU